UCAUGGCUCAGAUUGAACGCUGGCGGCAUGCCUUACACAUGCAAGUCGAACGGCAGCGGACCUUCGGGUGCCGGCGAGUGGCGAACGGGUGAGUAAUAUAUCGGAACGUACCUUUCAGUGGGGGAUAACGUAGCGAAAGUUACGCUAAUACCGCAUAUUCUGUGAGCAGGAAAGCAGGGGAUCGCAAGACCUUGCGCUGAUUGAGCGGCCGAUAUCAGAUUAGCUAGUUGGUGAGGUAAAGGCUCACCAAGGCGACGAUCUGUAGCGGGUCUGAGAGGAUGAUCCGCCACACUGGAACUGAGACACGGUCCAGACUCCUACGGGAGGCAGCAGUGGGGAAUUUUGGACAAUGGGCGCAAGCCUGAUCCAGCCAUGCCGCGUGAAUGAAGAAGGCCUUAGGGUUGUAAAAUUCUUUCAGAUGCGAAGAUAAUGACGGUACCAUCAGAAGAAGCUCCGGCUAAAUUCGUG
rnacentral:rRNA from 1 species